AGCAAAUAAAAGGUCAAUAUAGUUUAAAAUUUACAAGUGACAUUUGUUUUUUAUAUUUAAUUAUUUAUACAUAUAGUAUUUAUUAAUUAAUUUGAAAAUGUAGCACGGGCCAGUAAAAUAUGGCGGGCUACCAGUUGCCUAUUCCUGCCUAAUAGGGUCUUCCUCAGCCACCCGUUUAACUAUAAAGAUAACGGUUUACGCCACUAAUAAACCGCCUAUGCAUUGUGAGUUUUUAUUUCGCGAUCUUUAUAACUAUUAUAAUGUUUUUGACAUAACACAACAAAUAUGGACUAAUUUCUGUAUAGUUUUUAUACGUAGCUGUUGAGAAAAAUACGAAGUACAUAGUAUGUAGUAUACAAGUAUGAUAUUCAUGGUUUUCGAGAGAAUGUUCUCCCGAUAUGGCCCCAUAUAAGAUUAUCCAAACCAAUGAACGGAGAAGAUUUCACAAUAAUGAAAACAUUAUUUAUUUGUAAUAUUUAUAUAUAAAACAAAUACUUUAAUACUUACGAG